rnacentral:rRNA from 1 species
ACAAGGAUUCCCCUAGUAACUGCGAGUGAAGCGGGAAAAGCUCAAAUUUAAAAUCUGUCGGCCUUUGGUCGUCCGAGUUGUAAUUUAGAGAAGCGUCUUCCGCGUCGAACCAUGCACAAGUCUCCUGGAAUGGAGCGUCAUAGAGGGUGAGAAUCCCGUCUUUGGCAUGGAUGCUCGGUGCUCUGCGAUGCGCUCUCGAAGAGUCGAGUUGUUUGGGAAUGCAGCUCAAAAUGGGUGGUGAACUCCAUCUAAAGCUAAAUAUUGGCGAGAGACCGAUAGCGAACAAGUACCGUGAGGGAAAGAUGAAAAGCACUUUGGAAAGAGAGUGAAACAGUACGUGAAAUUGUUGAAAGGGAAACGCUUGAAGUCAGUCGCGUCGACCGAGACUCAGCCUUGCCCUUGGCUUGGUGUUCUUCUCGGCUGACGGGCCAGCAUCAAUUUCGUCCCUAGGAUAAUGGCAAGGGAAAGGUGGCACCUUUACGGGUGUGUUAUAGUCUCUCGUCGUAUACUAGGGGUGGGAUUGAGGAACUCAGCACGCGCCUUUGGGUGUCGGGGCUUCGGCCUACGUUACGUGCUUAGGAUGUUGGCGUAAUGGCUUUAAACGACCCGUCUUGAAACACGGACCAAGGAGUCUAACAUGCCCGCGAGUGUUCGGGUGGAAAACCCGUGCGCGUAAUGAAAGUAAAAGUUGGGACCUCUGUCGUGGAGGGCACCGACGCCCGGACCAGACCUUCUGUGACGGAUCUGCGGUAGAGCGUGCAUGUUGGGACCCGAAAGAUGGUGAACUAUGCCUGAAUAGGGUGAAGCCAGAGGAAACUCUGGUGGAGGCUCGUAGCGAUUCUGACGUGCAAAUCGAUCGUCAAAUUUGGGUAUAGGGGCGAAAGACUAAUCGAACC